rnacentral:rRNA from 1 species
UUCGCCCUUAGAGUUUGAUCCUGGCUCAGGCACGAACGCUGGCGGCGCGCCUAACACAUGCAAGUCGAACGAGCGAGAGAGAGCUUGCUUUCUCAAGCGAGUGGCGAACGGGUGAGUAACGCGUGAGGAACCUGCCUCAAAGAGGGGGACAACAGUUGGAAACGACUGCUAAUACCGCAUAAGCCCACAGCUCGGCAUCGAGCAGAGGGAAAAGGAGUGAUCCGCUUUGAGAUGGCCUCGCGUCCGAUUAGCUAGUUGGUGAGGUAACGGCCCACCAAGGCGACGAUCGGUAGCCGGACUGAGAGGUUGAACGGCCACAUUGGGACUGAGACACGGCCCAGACUCCUACGGGAGGCAGCAGUGGGGAAUAUUGCACAAUGGGGGAAACCCUGAUGCAGCGACGCCGCGUGGAGGAAGAAGGUCUUCGGAUUGUAAACUCCUGUUGUUGAGGAAGAUAAUGACGGUACUCAACAAGGAAGUGACGGCUAACUACGUGCCAGCAGCCGCGGUAAAACGUAGGUCACAAGCGUUGUCCGGAAUUACUGGGUGUAAAGGGAGCGCAGGCGGGAAAGCAAGUUGGAAGUGAAAUCCAUGGGCUCAACCCAUGAACUGCUUUCAAAACUGUNUUUCUUGAGUAGUGCAGAGGUAGGCGGAAUUCCCGGUGUAGCGGUGGAAUGCGUAGAUAUCGGGAGGAACACCAGUGGCGAAGGCGGGCUACUGGGCACCAACUGACGCUGAGGAUCGAAAGUGUGGGUACCAAACAGGAUUAGAUACCUGGUAGUCCACACUGUAAACGAUGAUUACUAGGUGCUGGAGGAUUGACCCCUUCAGUGCCGCAGUUAACACAAUAAGUAAUCCACAUGGGGAGUACGACCGCAAGGUUGAAAAUCAAAGGAAUUGACGGGGGCCCGCACAAGCAGUGGAGUAUGUGGUUUGAUUCGACGCAACGUGAAGAACCUUACCAAGUCUUGACAUCCUGCGACGGUGUUGGAAACAGUAGUUUCCUUCGGGACGCAGAGACAGGUGGUGCAUGGUUGUCCGUCAGCUCGCGUCGUGAGAUGUUGGGUUAAGUCCCGCAAUGAGCGCAACCCUUAUGGUCAGUUAAUACGCAAGAGGAAUCUGGCCAGAGUGCCGCUGACACAACGGAGGAAGGUGGGGAUGACGUCAAAUCAUCAUGCCCUUUAUGACUUGGGUUACACACGUACUACAAUGGCGUUAGACAAAGAGAAGAGAGACCGUGAGGUGGAGCAAAAGUCAGAAACAACGUCCCACUUCGGAAUGCAGGAGCAACUCGCUUGCACGAAGUCGGAAUUGCUAGUUAUCUCAGAUCAGCAUGAUGCGGAGAAUAUGUUCCCGGGCCUUGUACACACCGCCCGUC